GAUUUCCCCUUAUGCCAUCAGUCAAACCUUACGAGUGGUCACCGUGGUUAUGGGUUGGUGCCAGGAGCCGAGCACCUGGGCAGUGGUGAUGGCUCACGGUUCUCAACGCCCCGUGCUGCAGGCAAGCUGGGCAAGAAGCGAGCCCUGUCCAUCUCACCACUGUCAGACUCCAGCAUUGACCUGCAGACAGUCAUCCGCACCUCACCCAACUCCCUCGUUGCCUUCAUCAACUCCCGCUGUGCCUCUGCCAGUGGCUCCUAUGGCCACCUCUCCAUCAGCACCAUCAGCCCAUCAGUGGGAUAUCAGAGUCCCCCUGCUCAGCAGAAGGGCCAAGGCCACCUCUACAGCCACACCGCAGCACCCCCAGCACCAUGUACCUCCCAUGAACCCCUGUCCACCCGCCCAGGGCUCCUGCAUCACACCCCAGCUCGUGGGACCCUCAAGCAGUGCCAGGUAAGGGGCCCUUGUGCCCAUGUCAGCAGUGGUCCAGAGAGCAUCUCGGUGCUGACUCCUUUCCCCUGCCCUGGUAGCAGCUGAAGUUGGAGUGGAGCCUGAGCAGCCCCUUGGCUGCCAAAUACCCGGAGGAGAGAUCCGAGGGUGACAUCUCCAGUCCAGCUUCCACAGGCACCCAGGUACAGCCCCCAGCCUUGAGAUACCCCCCCCCACUUCCCAUUGACACCACUCUCAGUAACAGGAGCACAUCCCUCGGGAUACUGUGCUCC
rnacentral:lncRNA from 14 species